AACGCACCUUGCGCUCCUUGGUAUUCCUUGGAGCAUGCCUGUUUGAGUAUCAUGAAAUCUUCAAAGCAAAUCUUUUGUUAAUUCAACUGGUUUCUGCUUUGGUAUUGGGGGUAUAUGCAGCUUCACACCUGCUCCCCUUUGUGCAUUAGCUGGAUCUCAGUGUUAUGCUUGGUUCCACUCGGCGUGAUAAGUUAUCUAUCGCUGAGGACACUGUAAAAGGUGGCCAAGGUAAAUGCAGAUGAACCGCUUCUAACAGUCCAUUGACUUGGACAACAUAUUUAUGAUCUGAUCUCAAAUCAGGUAGGACUACCCGCUGAACUUAA
rnacentral:misc_RNA from 1 species